rnacentral:rRNA from 1 species
UGGGGAAUAUUGGACAAUGGGCGAAAGCCUGAUCCAGCCAUGCCGCGUGUGUGAAGAAGGUCUUCGGAUUGUAAAGCACUUUAAGUUGGGAGGAAGGGCAGUAAGCGAAUACCUUGCUGUUUUGACGUUACCGACAGAAUUAGCACCGGCUAACUCUGUGCCAGCAGCCGCGGUAAUACAGAGGGUGCAAGCGUUAAUCGGAAUUACUGGGCGUAAAGCGCGCGUAGGUGGUUCGUUAAGUUGAAUGUGAAAGCCCCGGGCUCAACCUGGGAACUGCAUCCAAAACUGGCGAGCUAGAGUAGGGCAGAGGGUGGUGGAAUUUCCUGUGUAGCGGUGAAAUGCGUAGAUAUAGGAAGGAACACCAGUGGCGAAGGAGACCACCUGGGCUCAUACUGACACUGAGGUGCGAAAGCGUGGGGAGCAAACAGU